GUGGGUAGUCAGUCUGCUCCGUCUCCGAGCAAUGCCAUCUGAGGAGGGAAAGGAUCUUUGUCUGGGAGGGGUGAUGGCAAACUCGGGAGAUGGAAUGAGCAUCUUACGUGGCAUGGAACCAUUGCAAAAGGACUGGGACGCUGGCUGAAAUGUGAUCCUAGGUCAAUUAGACAAUCCAGAUCUGGUCAAACAGCACUACAGAUGCUGAUGGAGAGGGGGAAACCAGCCUGGACAACACCCUCUGGAGGCAUGUUUUAGCUUCCUAUUUCUAUACUAAUAUAAUGGAAUUAUCUGCUUCAAUAAAUCUCAAUUUCACAACGCCAAAUAUAUCCUUUUCACCACUUCAAAGCCUUUCAACUGCAUACCAGAGGACCUUUUUUUAUUUGUUUGUUUCACCACCAGU